rnacentral:rRNA from 1 species
UACGUAGGGCGCAAGCGUUGUCCGGAAUUAUUGGGCGUAAAGAGCUCGUAGGCGGUUUGUCACGUCGGGUGUGAAAGCCCGGGGCUUACCCCGGGUCUGCAUUCGAUACGGGCAGACUAGAGUGUGGUAGGGGAGAUCGGAAUUCCUGGUGUAGCGGUGAAAUGCGCAGAUAUCAGGAGGAACACCAGUGGCGAAGGCGGACUCUGG